rnacentral:rRNA from 1 species
UACGGAUGGGGCUAGCGUUGUUCGGAAUUACUGGGCGUAAAGCGCAUGUAGGCGGGUCGUUAAGGCGGGGGUGAAAGCCCAGAGCUCAACUCUGGAACUGCCUUCGAUACCGGCGACCUGGACCCAAGGAGAGGCGAGUGGAAUUGCGAGUGUAGAGGUGAAAUUCGUAGAUAUUCGCAGGAACACCAGUGGCGAAGGCGACUCGCUGGACUUGUGGUGACGUUGAGAUGCGAAAGCGUGGGGAGCAAACAGG